CUCGGGUGAGAGUAAUUGACGAAGCCCUUUGUGGGGGCUAUCCCAUGAUGCUCUGCCUGCCACAGGCUUCCUUAGCCUGCCUCAGUAUCCAUCUUGCUAUCCUGGGGGCCUCAUCACAGUUGCGGACUACAAAAUACUGGAUCCGAAUUGACAGCACACCGGCAGCCCAGCAGCUCCGUCUUCUUCCCCACGUGUGGCUGUCGAUUGGCGGUUUUUUUCUCCCUAAUUACCCAUCUGCUAGAGAGGAAAGUAACACCACAUCAUUUAGAAGAAAUGCACCUGUUUAUCGAAAGGCAAGAAUAACCUAG
rnacentral:lncRNA from 1 species